AAAAUGUGCUGUUUUGAAUUGAGUUAAAUUGAGUUGAGAUGGCCCUGGCCCACCCCUGGGUGCCAGGGCAGGGGGAGGGAGCUAGGGAAGUGCCUGGAGCUGAGGUGGUUCCCAUUAGUCCUCAUGAUUAAUUCACAGCCACACUGUGAUGGAGUGGGCUUGUCCCCAGUCAGCGCCUCCGCUGGGGCCCACCUGUUAGCGACAAACAAACAAAGGGGAUAAAUAAUGCAUUGGGAGCUGAGCCAGGCAAGGCGGCAGUAUUGAAAUUAAUAGGGAUUAGCUGAGCAGCUUGAGGAUGAAAUAUUUACCAGGUGGGACUGGGCUUAGGAAGGGCAGCCACCCCCCUUCCCAGCAUCCCUAAGGCCCUUCUCCAGGACCUCAUUGGCUAGGACUGGCCAGCACCACCACUCCCACUCCUGCUACCUCCGUUUGCAGGACAGGCUGAGCAGACCACUGAGAGCUUAAGUCAGGCAGUCUCCUGGCACAGUGAGUCCUGGGGGAGCCGAGAUGCUAGGAGGGAAUGGAGGGGAAACAGAGGAAGCCUUGAGCACUUAUGCUGGAGACAAGGACUGGGUUUGAUUUUCAGAGCCUGGGUGUGUGGCAGCUGUGAGCAACAAAUGACAGGGCUAGAGGUGAUACACUUGCGAUCUUGCCCCUCUGUCCUCUGUCUCUUCCUGCAAGCCUUCCUUUCCUUGACUCUACAUACUUCCCGAGAGCCUUUGUAUAGAUAACCCCUCAGGGGGGCUGUGGUCUAGCAGGAGGUGACAAAGUAGUGAUGACAGGGGGCUCUCUGGGUUCUGAGGGAACACAGGGAAGAGAGGCCAAGGUAAAAAACAGGGUCAAGAGCAGCACCAGGGGUACAUUGGGGGAGUGUCCCAGGCAGAAGGAAGAGCACGUGAAAGUCAAGAGGCAGAGGAGCCUGAACUUGGCUGUAGGACAGGAGAGUGGAAAAGAUGAAGCCCGAGCCGUCAACAGGGCCAGGUCUCCGGACCUCAUCAGGGAUCUUGGGUGCUGUCCUGGGAGCAGUAAGGAGUCAUGGAAGGUGGUGGUUGUUUCCAUUCUUGAUUCUUAAGCUCUUUGCAGAGAAGUGUCUGUAUACCCCUAACAUCACCUUCCCUGAAGUUAACAUCUUGCAUCAUCAAAGUGCAACUGUCAGCACCAGGAGAUAACACUGGCUCUAUAUUAUUGAUGACACUGAAGGCCUUGUUUAAAUUUCACCAUGGUUUCCAUUAAUGUCCCUUUUCUGCUCUAGGAUCAUAUAAGAGUUUUAAGACAGGGAGUCAAAUGACCAGAUUCAUAGUUUAAAGGACACCAUUUUGGAGAGAGUAGCAGUAGCACUGUUGUCACUUGGAUGAAAGAGGAUGUGGCCUGCGCCAUGAUGAUGUAGUGGGAAUCUAGGUUUCGAAAUUAUUCGAAAUUUUAUGGUCACUAAAGCCUCAGGAUGGAUGAGGUUAUUAUCCAGGGAGAGUAGAGAUGGAAAAGGGGUGAGGGCCUGUGUCCUCUGAACAUCACCACACCUGGGGAAUGACCUGAAGGGGAGGAGUGUUCACAGGAACCUGGAGGAUUGGGAUGGAAAGGGAGGUUGUUGUCUCUGAAGCCAAGGGAGUGUGAGCUUCAAGGAGGGAGCAGUCCGCGUGUCACCAGCCCCCGUGUCACCAGCCCCUGUGUCACCAGCCCAGGGGAGUAGUAAGGCUCAUGAGAGAAGGUGGCUUUGGU
rnacentral:lncRNA from 1 species